CCUACGGUAGGCAGCAGUGGGGAAUAUUGCGCAAUGGGCGCAAGCCUGACGCAGCGACGCCGCGUGAGGGAUGAAGGUCUUCGGAUCGUAGACCUCUGUCAGCAGGGAAGAACGGUCACUGUGCUAAUCAGCAGUGAAUUGACGGUACCUGCAAAGGAAGCACCGGCUAACUACGUGCCAGCAGCCGCGGUAAUACGGAGGGUGCGCGCGUUAAUCGGAAUUACUGGGCGUAAAGCGCUCGUAGGCGGUAUGUCAAGUAAAUGGUGAAAUCCCCGCGCUCAACGUGGGAACUGCCUUUGAAACUGGCAAAGUGGAGUGUGUGAGAGGAUAGUGGAAGUCCAGGUGUAGGAGUGAAAGCCGUAGAUAUCUGGAGGAACAUCAGUGGCGAAGGCGACUAUCUGGCACAUAACUGACGCUGAGGAGCGAAAGCGUGGGUAGCAAACAGGAUUAGAUACCCGUGUAGUC
rnacentral:rRNA from 1 species